CACGUAGGGACCAAGCGUUGUCCGGAUUUAUUGGGCGUAAAGCGCUCGUAGGCGGCUUGGUAAGUCGGGUGUGAAACCUCCAGGCUCAACCUGGUGACGCCACCCGAUACUGCUAUGGCUUGAGUUCGGUAGGGGAGCGGGGAAUUCCUGGUGUAGCGGUGAAAUGCGCAGAUAUCAGGAGGAACACCGGUGGCGAAGGCGCCGCUCUGGGCCGAUACUGACGCUGAGGAGCGAAAGCGUGGGGAGCGAACAGG
rnacentral:misc_RNA from 1 species